AGACUUGAACAUGUGCUGGGUGUACGAAUGGAAUAUACGCCUAUGCAAAUGAGCAUUGACCUUUUCCUUUAUAUGUUUAAGCGCCUGAGUGUGAAGUGGGUCAUUUUCUGUGUGUGAGUGGGUGUGUUUCACUUGUGAUGCAUCUUGUUUCAAAUGAGCAAUAACAUGUUGUAAGCUAAAACUGAAAAUGAAAAAGUAAUCUAUCUGAAGGAGAAAAAAUGGAAAAUGAAAGAAAACCUGAAGAAAAGAUGAGCCAAACUGAAAUUAAAGGAUUCUUCUAUGAGAACUUUAACAUUUUACAUGAUCUCUGCAACAAGAAUUGGUUUCUGGUUCCACUGGUGGAAGACCCAACACAACUGAACAGCAGAAGAGUGACCUCUCCUACCUGUAGAUGGCUCAGAUGUGGGAGCUAGGCUGGCAUCAAAUGUACAUGUGUCAUUAGAAGAACCUCCAGGUAACAGAUUUGGAAUGUUGGGAGCAUUUGGAAACUCCAAUCCAUGUGAAGGUCUCUGGGACUUGUGACUAAGCACACAUACACAUAGCUUUUAUUGUUGCCAGAAGGAACAGUAAAACUAUUUAGAUCCAGUACUGUUUCAAGUGCAUUGAUUAUUUCAGACUGAUAGCCUCGUUCCUGAAAUGUUCCAACAUACAUGUAAAAUAUUGAAACAUCGUGGGUGUUACAAUACAAGGGAUCUGCAAAAAAUAAAACAAAACAUUUCUAUAAGAAAGACUACAAUAGCCCAAACACAUCUGAAGAUUAUGCAAACAAGGAUAAUGACAUAUUGUCUGCUAAUGGUGGUUAGCAGAGUGCAAGUGCACGGGAAGAGGACACAAAUUAAAAGAAAGAUAAAAAAACUAAAUGGCAAUAGAUGACAUGUAUGCUUUCUUAUAUAUUCUAGGGAAAACUAAAAAGUAGUAGAAGGCAUACAUAUCUUAUAUAUUCCAAGACUUAUAUCCUGUAGGCUUUUACAGUCUUCAAACUAACCCUCUUUAUAUGGAGCUUAUAUCAUAAAGAGUCCUCAUGAACUUUGGCUGUCAGGAGACCAGAUGCUGUUUCAGAAUCUGAAAGCAAAUUUGAUGACUCCAAGUAUGGUGUUGCUGUGUAUAAAUUAUAGAACAAACUCUCCUAUAAUUUGUUAAUAUAUUACCAAUAAAAAUUGCUUCAAAUCAUUACUGAGAAACCACUUGUGACGUAACUGGAUUUUUAACUGCUGCAUUAUAUAAAGGGUUGUUGUAAUCAAUUUGACCUCUUCAGAUUGCUUCCUAACCUUACUAUCAUCCCCUACUUACUAUAUAGACUUUAAAACUGGCAGCAUACUUUGCCACAGACAAGAUACAUAUCUAUUUGUUUCUGUCAUUUUACUGACCAUCUUCUUUUGAUUGUUUCUGCUGUUUGGAUUCAGUACAAUUGAUGUUCCUUUAGCUACCCAUUUCAUGACCACAAGAGUAUCGAGAUCUUGUUGACUCUGUUUUGACCAUUUUUUUGUUUAUAAUAUCUGCUAAUUUAUCAAAUGUUCUUUGCUGCUUAUCUGUGUUUGAUAACUUGUUCUGUAAUUAACUGCAUUUUUUCUUUUCUAAAGGCUUUCUAGGACUUUUCUUAAAACAGAGCUUCCCAGAAGUUUCCCAAUUAAUACAAUAAGUUAAAUCAAAAUGAAAAGUAAGCUAAGAUAAAAGCAUGCUUGCCAUCUCAAACAAGGUAGUGGAUGUACUGCUACUUCCAAAAGACUACAUGAUAGACAUCAGUAUGAGAUGAACAUGUCACUAAGCUAAUUUCUUAUUUUCCUGAUAGAGAGAAUGGCUUUUCAUUUUUAUCCCAAGCCAUCGCACAGAACUGAUACUAGUCACAGAAUCAUCGGAAACUUUGGAAAUAACUCUGAAAUUAUAUUUUGGCAGAAACUAUUUCUUCUGGUAAUGUGUACUGGCUGAGUUAGUCUCCUCCUGCCUGCUAGGAGAAACUAUGCUGGGUAUAUUCACUGAAUUAGGACUGCUCUUUUAAGUUAGUAGUACACUAACAUUUAGUAUUCAUAUUUUUAAGGCAGAAUCUCAAGGAAUAGUCCAGUGAAAAUUAAAAGAAAAAUCUUUAAAUCUCCAAAGUCAUGUGCCUACACUUAUUUCAAGGAAACAGUGCCAUAACGUUAUUUUCAGUAUUUGUACUGUAGCAUUUGAUUGUGAUGUUAUUUUCCCAAUUCAUACAUUUUUGCACCUCAAGAUUUUACACUUACCAAGUAAAUGUAUCUUACAAGCAUGAAAUUACAUGUUUAUUCAAUGUUUGUGAAGUAGAUCAAUAAAUAUAUUUACAGAAAUUUUAGCAAAAAUAAUUGAGCCAUUACAGUGAUGAACACUGUAUUUAAUUUUGCCAAUAAAACUUCACAACUAUAUCUCUAGUUUUUACAUUUCACUGCAGACAUUACUUCAGUAAACCACAUGAACAAACCAUCCCACAGUCUGUACAGUUUGACAAUUUAUUUUGCAAACCAGAGAUGAUUAUCACCCCACUUUCAUGGGACUCCAGGGCAAUGUGAAUGACUUUAUUGGUACAACUUGCCUUAUCCAUGUUUCUUUAAUUUGCAUUCCAUGCUCAGUGUCACUGUAUUAUUAUCUUAAAAUGUGAAAUGUAAGACAUUUAACUUUAAUAACUAUAUUUUCUCAUUCUGAAAGGAUAUUGUUAUUAUCAAAUUCAGUAUAAUAGCAUGGUUUAUUUGUUUCACAGGAAGAAAACAGCACUUACUUUCUUCUUAAAAGAAAACUGAAAAAUAAAAGCACUGGAGUUGUAAAACUGUAAUUGCUGGACUUUUAAAAUAUUUUUACUGUACAGGUAUUUGUUCCUUUAAAACACCUCAUGAAUGAGUCAUGAAUGAUACAGUUCUUGUGUUUUAUGUUCAGUUCUAAAUGUUGUUUUGCAUCUUAAAGG